UACUAUGUAUAAUAAUUUCCCAUUAAUUCAAGAAUUUAUCAUUUACUAAAUGAAAAUAACAUAAUAAAACAUGGAAGGUAACAACAAAAUUCUCACCCAUGAUCACAUAAUUAAGAACUAGUACUAUAUUGAGAUAAUAUCUCAUUACAAACUCCUUAAUAUAAAACACAACAAUAAUUAAAAUUCAUUCAACAACAUGAGGUCAAAUAGAAAUACAAUAAUUAGUAAUAAACUACGGAAAAAAAAAUAUGCUGCUUCCUCAAACGCUAAUGUAAUCACUUGUCUUGUAACUUUGCUCUUGAAUAAAUUUAAACUUUCAUGUACCUGUGGAAGAAAAAAAUAAUUUUAGUACAUUUGAUAACAUAAUUUAGCAAAAAACAUAUUUUCAAACAUUAGUCAUAUCAUAUUUUAAUUUGUGAAGAAAAUAAUAGAACGACAAAUUAGCACUAGCCGGUAGAAAGGUACUUAGUCAAAGUUAGGCGGUAAAUAUUUAAUUCUUCUUUGACUCCAAAUAACCACAAGAAUUAAGACAGAGAUAUGAAAUUAAGAUUAACUAAUCACUCAAAAAUUAAUGAAUAAUAAACAAAUUUCUUCAUACCUCUGCAAUAGAAUUAAAUCAAUAAGAACCCACGAAUACGUACACAUAAUAUAUCAUCUCGAGAAACCCAAAUUUUUAUUGCCCUAUAAUUGAAAGAAAAAGAUAUUCCGUAUGAGAGAUGCAACAGAAAAAAAUUGAAGAAUAAUUAAUAUUUUUUAACUUAGAUUGAGGAUUUGUACCAACGCAAAGGAGGCGCCAGAAGAGGCUUUGCGUCUUAAAACGCCCAUCACGCAAUUUGAUCUUUUAUGUUAUUAAAUCAACAAAAGAAUUCGAAGAAAAUUAAACAUUACAGAAUAUAAAGGAUUUGUAUGUGUGAAAGAGACAGAAAUGAUAAAUUAAUGGAGGUAGGUAAUAUAGAUCUAAGUGGUGCAAUAAUUUGAUUAGGGAGAUGAAUAUCACAAAGUGUUGGGAGAGAAAAGAGGGAGAAUUGAGAAAUGAGGAGGCGUCAGUUCUUAUUAAAA
rnacentral:lncRNA from 1 species